UUUUAUUGAAUGUAUAUUAAGUCAGUAGGUCAACAUCUUACUGUGACCGAUACGGCGCUGAUUUCAAUGUUUAAAAUGUAAAUAAAUUUUA